rnacentral:rRNA from 1 species
AUUGUAACGACUGGCGGCGACUGCUUUACUACAUGCAAGUCGAACGGCGAGCACGGGCGUUCGGCCGUCGGUGGCGAGUGGCGAACGGGUGAGUAAUGCAUCGGAACGUGCCCAUUUGUGGGGGAUAACUACGCGAAAGCGUGGCUAAUACCGCAUACGCCCUGAGGGGGAAAGCGGGGGAUUCUUCGGAACCUCGCGCAAUUGGAGCGGCCGAUGUCAGAUUAGCUUGUUGGUGAGGUAAAGGCUCACCAAGGCGACGAUCUGUAGCGGGUCUGAGAGGAUGAUCCGCCACACUGGGACUGAGACACGGCCCAGACUCCUACGGGAGGCAGCAGUGGGGAAUUUUGGACAAUGGGGGCAACCCUGAUCCAGCCAUGCCGCGUGCAGGACGAAGGCCUUCGGGUUGUAAACUGCUUUUGUACAGAACGAAAAAGUCUUUAAUAACACUAGAGGCUCAUGACGGUACUGUAAGAAUAAGCACCGGCUAACUACGUG